CAGGCGCGAAAACUUCACACUGCAGGAAACUGUGAUGAGGGAACUCCAAGUGCGCGCACUUAGUGUGCGCUUUUGUUGACUAUUAAUCGGUCAAUGAAUAAGGGCUGGGAAAGACCGGUGCCAGCCGCCGCGGUAAUACCGGCAGCUCAAGUGGUCGUCGCUUUUAUUGGGCCUAAAACGUCCGUAGCCUGUUUGGUAAAUCUGUGGGUAAAUCAACGAGCUUAACUCGUUGAAUUCUGCAGAGACUGCCAGACUAGGGACCGGGAGAGGUAUGAGGUACUCUGGGGGUAGGGGUAAAAUCCUGUCAUCCUCAGAGGACCACCUGUUGCGAAGGCGUCAUACUGGAACGGAUCCGACGGUCAGGGACGAAGCCUAGGGGCACGAACCGGAUUAGAUACCCGGGUAGUCCUAGGUGUAAACGCUGUGAACUUGGUGUCGGGAUUCCGUCAGGGGACCUCGGUGCCGAAGUGAAGAUGUUAAGUUCACUGCCUGGGGAGUACGGUCGCAAGGCUGAAACUUAAAGGAAUUGGCGGGGGAGCACUGCAACGGGAGGAGCGUGCGGUUUAAUUGGAUUCAACGCCGGAAAACUCACCAAGGCCGACUGUUAUAUGAAGACCAGCGUAAUGAGCUUGUCGGAUUUUCAGAGAGGUGGUGCAUGGCCGUCGUCAGUUCGUACUGCAAAGCGUUCUGUUAAGUCAGAUAACGAACGAGACCCGCAUCCCUAUUUGCCACCCUGUUCUCCGGAGCAGGCGCACCAUAGGGAGACCGCUGGUGUGAAACCAGAGGAAGGCGCGGGCAACGACAGGUCAGUAUGCCCCGAAUGUCUUGGGCUACACGCGCGCUACAAAGGACAGGACAAUGGGAAGCCACGCCGAGAGGCGGCGCUACCCCGAAACCUGUUCAUAGUUCGGAUCGAGGGCUGUAACUCGCCCUCGUGAAGCUGGAUUCCGUAGUAAUCGUGUUUCAACAUAGCACGGUGAAUAUGCCCCUGCUCCUUGCACACACCGCCCGUCAAACCAUCUUAGUUGGGGAUGGAUGAGGCUGCGUUUUAAUGGCGUAUUCGAGCCUGCCUUCGACAAGGAGGGUUAAGUCGUAACAAGGUAUCUGUAGGGGAACCUGCAGAUG
rnacentral:rRNA from 1 species